rnacentral:RNase_P_RNA from 1 species
GGAGUCGACCAGACAGUCGCGAUGCUGCUUCGGCGGCAUGGAGGAAAGUCCGGGCACCACAGGGCAGGGCGCCAGGUAACGCCUGGGGGGUGUGAGCCUACGGAAAGUGCAACAGAGAGCAGACCGCCUAAGCGUCACUUCGGUGACGACGGUAAGGGUGAAACGGUGAGGUAAGAGCUCACCGCGCCGGUGGCAACACACGGCGGCACGGUAAACCCCGCUCGGUGCAAGACCAAAUAGGGGGACGUUGGUGCGGCCCGCAUUGUCCCCGGGUAGGUCGCUUGAGGUGCGUGGUGACACGUUGCCCAGAUGAAUGACUGUCCACGACAGAACCCGGCUUAUCGGUCGGCUCCCGCU